UUUUUUUUUUUUUUUUUUUUUUUUUUAUGGCAUCGCGCUCCUGGCGCAUUCAGCCAGACGAGUAAAGCAGGGAAACGGAAUUAAAGGAUUACAUUAUAACGGGUAAGACGGAAUUUUGGAAAAGGAUCAGGAAAAGGUAAAUUAUAGGCAGUUAGAGUUUAAUGUUAUGACGUGAAAUAAAUGAAUACAAUGAUUUAAAUAUAUAUGGAGAAGAAUCAUUCAUAUACAGGAGUGUUGUAAUAGAUGUGGGAAACGGAACUUUAAAAUCUGACAGCUGUCUUAAUAGUAUAGAACGAUCAUAAAGGUUACAUGCAAAGAAUAUAUGGUUAAGAUCAGCGGGAUCAGCUCCACAAGUACAUGCAGAACUGGCCACGCGAUUUAGUAAUUUGAGGUGUUCCGGUGUACAUACGUGACCCAAUCUCAUUCGAAUUAACAUACUAGUUGCAGGUUUUGGCAGAGAGAUUUUAGCAAACCAAGGAUUCCAAAGCACUCACCACUGUACACAGAGGAUUCUGGUGGCAACUUUAUUUUUUGGUAAAUAUUAGAUUGGGUGUGGAGAACACCAACGCCAACACAACCAUUCUCUGACGUCUUAGAAGCAUCUGUGUACAUAUGAUGAGCACCCAGGCCAUCUGUUCCAAUGAAUCCCAGGAAUUGUUGAUUUUGUUCAACAUCAUUCUUGGAGACUCCAAUAUCGAGGAGAACUGGAGGAAUAAGUGUCAGAGAAUCAUAUUCAUAUUGGAAAAUGGGAAGUGUUGAAGAGCUAACAGUGGGAGCUGAUAUAGAUUUAAGUUUUUGAAAGCUUUUUACUAAACAAGGAGGACUUUUGUGUUUCCAAUAGUUGGAAGUAGUUAUUUGAAGCACAAGGUUAGACAGGAUAAUCCAGAGUUGGUGAUUAGAGAAUUGGGAACAACGGAAAAUAAAUCUAUCACUAAGAUAUUGGCGUCGUAAAUGAAGUGGAGGCUCAACACACUCAACUUGCAUGGCAUUGAUAGGGCUUGAAUUCAUGGCCCCACAAAUCAAUCUGAGUGCUUUGGAUUGAAUACGAUCUAGUUUUUGGAAGCCAGCUACAUAUCCUGGCUCUAACAAAAAUGUCCCAUAAUCUAAAAUACUUCUUAUCAAGGCAUUAUACAUGAGUUUCAUGCAAAAAGGAUGUGAACCCCACCAAACUCCUGAAACGCACCUGAGGAUA